AAGUGAAAACAGGGUCAAUGUGCGCUUCGUCACAGAAAAAAAAAAACAGAAAAAGGACAAACAGACACUUUUAUCGCGCAUGGACAACUUGUCAUUUGAGUAAUUACAAUAUAUAUAUACGGUCAGGAGAAGUGUGGUUCAAAAUAUAAAAGUCAUCUCCUUUUUAAAAAAAAGUUCUAGCAGGAGUCUGGAAAUUCCGCAAAUGGAAAACAUAUAGAAAGCAAAAAGAAAGUCUGAGCACUGAACAUUGCAAGAGGACAUGUUGGACUAGUCUGUGCUUGCUAACGGACAUAAUGUAAGGCAACGACACAACCACAAAGACACAUAUACACAUGUCAUAGCACCACGUGUUGUCGUUAGUUGUCUGUCCCUGUCUUAUUGGCGCUAUUGAACUUCCCUGUAUGACAGAACAAAUUGCCCGAAUCAAUGCCUUGGUAAUAAGCGCUAUAGUCUGAUCAUUUCACAACAGGACAAAAGUAAUAAAUUGGCAGCGUGCGCUCGUUGUCUAACAGUUGUCUUAAGUAUUACGAAGAAUACACACAGCAUGAACGAUACUCGGGACCCUCACCUGUACCUCAACUAAUCAUACAGAAGGCUGAACAGUUAUAAUUUUUAGAGGAACCGCACAGGCUGGCAACUAGCGCUUGACGGAAUUAACAGUGAACAGGAAUUUCGGCCGCAGGCGACACUGGUUGGGAGAAGCUCUGGGUGCACAGCGCGAUCAGUGCCAUCUGCAGCGGUAUUAGACAGCUUACGUUUCUGCAAUUUCUUUGUGCUUUAAAGAUUAAAAAUGCUGCUAUGCGUACGAUCAACUGAGUGUGGAUAAGAUUAAGGCGGGCGUAGGAAAAAUUUCGAUAAUAGCGUCGGUGUAGAGUUCAAAAUGCACUUCCAGAGCCUGAACCCUAAGCCAAAUCUCUGUAUACAGAGUGUCCCAACUAUCAUGCAUCGCGUUUUCAAGAAAAGGCGGGCCAUUCUACGCGAUGAUGACAAAGUGCAUAUUGUUCACAUUCGAGUAGAGCAGUCGCCAGUAAUUUUGUUGUUGAUACCAUUCAAUUUAUUAGCUAAUUGCAAUUCUCUAUAUAUAUAUUACUGCUCUGAAUGGCAUGCUGUCAAUGAAUAAUUUGCAGAUAAUUGUAAGAAGCUUAGAAAUGGCAUGCCUUGGGCCAGGCACUUUAUGCCAGCAAUUUUUUUCCCGGUUGAUAAAGAAAGUCCGCAAAAGAUGAAAAGCGCCACGCGACUAACAGUCCGCCGGCAUCAAAAAGCAGCACCCUCAAACACGUUUCACAGGAGCUGGUGAGCGUACUCCCUCCGCGACGCAUCAGCCACCACUUAUCGGCACUCUUUCCUUAUCAACGCCCAGGCGCGCGCUGUCGCGGGCGGAACGCGUCAGAUAAAACGCCAACUCUGCCACUUACUGCUAUGGAACUUGUCUGAGGGCGCUGCUUUCUGAUGCGGACUAGGGUGUCUCUAUGUCAGAAGCUUGGCAUAGAGACACCCUAAUGCGGGCGCACGUCGCAGGCAGGGAUCGCUUUCUCGGCGACGUCGAGAGUUCAGGCGCCGACUCUCGCUUACCCUGGCGUGAAACUCGGGAUCCUUUACUCGGCGUCACCUCUUCUCAGCCGCAGAUUCGGCGCGGUGUUCUGGAUCAACUCGGCGGCGACGCAUCGCUUCUCGCUUGGCAGUACGGCGCUCUUCCUGUCCCGACAUCUCUACGAAGUACAAAGCCCUGACAGCAACGCGGUGAGUGGGCUGGCUGCAACUGUACUCACCAAGGAGGCCAGAUGC